rnacentral:rRNA from 1 species
AUUGAACGCUGGCGGCAGGCCUAACACAUGCAAGUCGAGCGGAGCGGCGGACGGGUGAGUAAUGCCAGGGACUCUGCCUGGUAGUGGGGGAUGACGUCCGGAAACGGGCGCUAAUACCGCAUACUUUACGAUGAGAAUAGGUCGGAUUAGCUAGUUGGUGGGGUAACGGCCUACCAAGGCGACGAUCCAUAACUGGUCUGAGAGGAUGAUCAGUCACACUGGAACUGAGACACGUUCCAGACUCCUACGGCAGGCAGCAGUGGGGAGGAUUGGACAAUGGGCGAAAGCCUGAUCCAGCCAUGCCGCGUGUGUGAAGAAGGUCUUCGGAUUGUAAGGCACUUUAAGUUGGGAGGCGUUACCAACAGAAUAAGCACCGGCUAACUUCGUGCCAGCAGCCGCGGUAAUUC